AUAUUUUCUGCCUUUAUUAGCUCCCUUAAAACUGCCCACACUUAACAGUUUAAUAUCUGAUACGCCCUCUAUCCGAGGACAAUAUAUUAAAUGGAUUUUUGGAGCAGGGAGUUGGAAUAGGAGAUUGCUCCAUUCACUCUUAGCUCCGAUCUGAUACUGCAGUACCUCCAGGAACAGUGCAUCCUCU
rnacentral:snRNA from 1 species